rnacentral:lncRNA from 1 species
CAGAAGUUCAAUAUUUCACAGUUUACAUAUAACUAAAGUUACAAAUGUUCUAAUUUGAACUUUUUUUUUAAAAAAAAACCUUUAUAUUUUUGAGAUUUUGGGGCUAAUUAUGUCUUUGUCUUACUUGUAACAGCCAAAACCACUGAGCAGUUCAUCAGAAUCCAUCGUGUGAAUACACACAGAAUGGCUUUGAAAAUGUAGGAAAUUGCAGGAUAGAUUUGGUCAAGCUGACUGCAAUUCUGUCAAGAGGAGGGAGCACAAAGAACAUAAACAAAGUAAAUGUAAGAAGA